CGUGAUUCCAAGGAUUCGCUCUCCCACGCGCCUAACAAUCCGUCACAUCUCACGCGUUUAUCUCUCCCUUUUACAUUUCCUCUCCUCACAUUCUCUCUCUUUUCUCUUACUAUAAAGCCUCAUGUUCCCUUCUUCCCAUUCUGCACCUCUAUCCCUCACUAAUUUCAAUACUGCCACUGAUAAAAUAAAAAGUUUUCACCGAACAAAAAGAAAGAACCGAAAGCUUAUGGCGGAGGAGAGGCUAACUCGGACUGACUCAGCUGAGAAAAACGAGUCCGGGACGAGUCUGACGACGCGAAGUCUCCACUCCCCCGAGGUAAAGAGGCUGAGAGACGAUUUACUCGACGUUCUCGACGACUCGGAUCCCGAACCGGUGAGUCAAGAACUCGACUCGGUUAUGAAGAGCUUCGAGGACGAGUUAUCUUCGACGGUUACGCAAGAGACCCAGCCGGAUCUCGGCUACCUUCUCGAGGCUCCGACGACGAGCUUGGUCUGCCGCCGGUUUCUCCGGUUCCCGUCGUCGCGAAGGAGGUUGAAACGACGGGAUUUGGUGCGAGCGUCGUCGGAUUCGUCCUGGAGUCGACGAGUUAUGGGGGUUCGACGACCAUUUCUCGAACUACGGCUCGUUGGAUUUCGGUUCCGGCGUCGGAGAUGGCGGAGAUUACGUCGCCGUGGAUGGGCUGUUUGAAUUUUCCGAUGAUGGUUUCGAUGCCGGCGAUCUAUUUUCGUGGCGGUCGGAGUCUUUGCCGGCGGAAUAAAAACUUUUCGGAGUUUUUUUUUAAUUAGGUGGGAAAUGGUUUAACGAUGUCGUUUUGUAAAGCGUGUGGCUUAGUUUCCAUGUUGUUUUUUUUACCCCUAUCAUUAUGGUUAGAUUGUUAAUUUUCUAUUAAUUAAUUAUUAGGAUUAGGAAAGUUAAAUACUUUGUUAGGGGGGUAAAUUUCUAGAUUAAUGUAAGCGAAUUCGUUUGUUUGUU